GUGGGCGGGGCCGCGGAGCAGGGAGCUCGGCGACAGACCGCGGGAUCUCAGCGAGGGGCCUGCUGGAUCGAGCGCUUCCUGCAGCCGCCUUUCUGCCGGCUCCUCCCCAGCGGGCAGGGGACUUGCCCAGGCAGCUGCCGCUCCACCCCGGGGCGCCAGGACUUCCCUCACCAGGAUCCAGGUCCCCGGCGCGGGCGGUGGAAGUCCUGGACCUUAAGGGCCACUGGGCUGUCGGCGGGGAGGGCGCCCCCUCGGGGGCAGGGCGAGCAUGGCAGCCGGCGUGCUCCUCCCCCCUCCUUCCUCCUGGGGUUCAGAUGAGGAAACCCAGGCCCAGAGAAGUCCGGAGUCUUUGGAGUCACACAGCUCGUCUCCCUGCUCGCCGAGCGCCCCUGGCGACAGUAAGAGUUAAUAUGUGCUUAGAUCUUUCCGCGAUCGUAAGCGCAGGUGCCCUUUUUACUCUCUGCUUUACAGUUGGAGAAACUGAGGCUCAGAAGUUAAGAACUACAAGGCUCUGCUCCUCGGGGAGCCAGGAAGGCUUGUCCUCCGCAAGGACUCCAAGAGUGAGGCUACUCCUGGCCCCAACCCCCCUUCCUAGCUGAUGCUCCCCUCCCAACUCCAAAAGGAAGUUCCCUUAGAUCUGACCCCUAUCCCUGCUGCUGCAGUCUCACCUCCAGCCAUCUUCUCACAGUUGCCUCUCAUGUUAUUUUUAUUUUUAAUUAAAAAGUACAUCCUGCUGGGGCUGUAGCUCAGGGGUAGAGCACCCGCCUCGCUGGGUUCGAUCCUCAGCACCACAUAAAAAUAAAG
rnacentral:lncRNA from 1 species